rnacentral:lncRNA from 1 species
UUUUUUUUUUGUUUGAAAGCCGCAAAAAUUGAGGGGGGGAAAAAUUGUUUUCAAUCAAACGCCAUUAGAAAAUUUAUUUUGUUCAGAUUUUUCAGAAAAUUGAAAAACUACUUAAGGUAGAGAAAAACUUUUCCAUAUUGGUGCUUAGUAGGAAAAAAAAUUCUGAAAAAUCAACAAGUUUUUUUUUUUUUUUUUAAUUCUGAGAUAGUUCAACAACUAUUCUUGUUUGCACUGAAUCAGCACUUUAUUAUUGCUGUUUUGUUUGAUUUAAUUUAGUAAGUUUCUUUAUCGUAUAAAAGACAAUGCGUAUAACGAUUCAUUCACUUUGGUAGUUCUUUACCCAUUCAAUUGUAAAGUUGUUUACCCUAAAAAUUGGAUAACAAUUAAACUUAUAAUGUGAUUUUAAGGAUACAUGAUUUCGGCUAAUACCAAUUGAUAAAUACAAAGAUUAAUAAUAAAAAUUGACAAUAAAAUAAAGCAAACUAGUGUUUGAACAUAAUUCAGCUCUCGAGCUUGAAUACCCUCGAGCUUUGUUCGAGAACGAUUAAAAUGUGACAAGCUGAUGAAUAAGAGAAUGUAAGUUAAAGUGAGAAUAUAAGAUGGGAAGUAUUGUAUGCUUUGAUAUGCGUGAAUGUGAGGUGUCUACAAAGUGGUUAAAACCCUCUUUAUAUAGUAGAGUAAUUCUAACGGUUUCUGACACCAAAUAUUCUCCCUCCUCUUACUCGCCCGAUUUGAGAUAUAGCACGCGAUUGGAAGGUUCUGGAGAACGAUUGUUGGAUGAGUGUGAGGCGUUGGAUUGAUUUCACUCAAUCUGAGCCUCACAUUUAUCAAGGGCUCGUUGUCAAAAGGGACCAGAUCCAAUUUUGUAAGGGGAGGAGGAUUCAGAGGGAUUUUUAGAGAGGAUUUUGGAAAAGAAUUUGAGAGAUUUUUCUUCUUCAGCUUUUAUUGUUCUUUUAUUUCUGAUACUGGAACAACAAAAAAAAUCAUUGAGUGUUCGGCUAUUUCAUUUCAUGUCAAUUAUUGUUUAAAGUUUUUUUUUUCGAAAUCUCUAGAGUCCGUCUUCUUCAUUUUGAUUCUGGAUUUUGGUUUAAAAAUGGAAGUCAUUUGAGAAGUUCAAGGUUGUUGCUGCUCGAGGGUUGAUUUUCAGCUGCUAUUUGCUUCCUUUUGGUCGAUUUCAGUGUUGUAUUAAUUCAGUCUCUUAUUUCCAGGUUCAUUUCUUUCUUCCCUUUGGUUCUCGUUGUGAAUCGAUCUCUGAAUGAACUAUAAAACGUGUUGAAGUUUAAAGUAAUAGUUGACAUUUGUCAUUUUUGCUGCUCUGUUCUUCUUGUUUUCAGCUUCUUCCAUGAUUUCACAUGUGUGCUAUUGAAUGUCCAUAUAAUCCUCUAGUCUUGGAAUUCAUCUAAACAUGUAGCUGUGUGUGCUCAUUUGCCCUUCUAUCACUAUUGGAUCAUGGUUUGUUUGGGAAAAAUGUUUGAAAUCUGGUUGCUAAUUAGUCGAAGUUUAACUUUGUUCGGUUUUAUUGUAUCAUGAGUUGUCAAGUUGGUGUGUUCUCGCUAGUUGAAUCAGGUGAAUGAAUCAUAUAUUGAUCUGAAAUUUCAUGCUUGCUCAUGUACUAGUCACAAAUCAGUCGAGUUACGCGUAGUUUUCAUUCAUGCCUUUACGUUAGGAAUGCAUGACUAUCUGGACACUAAAAUUCCAAUCAGUUGAACUAGCUAUCUAUGUGCUCACAGUUCUAGUGGUCUGCUUCACUUUUGGCCAAGAUUGGCACCAUUGCAGCUGUUACUUUACUGGAAUUAGGACUAAAUAUGCAUGUCUUGCUGUUUGCUGAAGUCAAUUUGCUAGUUUUGUUCAUGCCUAUUGCUAAAAAUGUAUAGACCAUUUGUUCGCUUUCUUGCUUUUUUCAAACAUGAGUCAGUUGUGUCAGGCUAUUUGAAGCGCUAGUUUCUGUUAGAGUAUCUGCAUUUGGCAGCUGUGAUGGUGAUAAUCCUGCUUCUUAGAUUUUGGGUUCAAAACAGAGGUUAAGUUGUCAUGCGAAAUAUGUAUGUACAGAACUGCAUCCAUUUUUCUUUUUCACUUGAAUAACACUCUUGCGCUUGGAUUUUGAAAUAACUGAAUCAUCGUCCCUUAAGUUUCAUAGCUUUCUUUUGCAUAUUCACCAAUACUCGGACAUGAACUGGGCUUUGAACGAUUCCUGGAUUGCCGCUAGCUUAAGUCCUUGAUUUAUAAUUAAGUUUUGUUCAUAGUUGCCCCAUCGAUUUGAGUUUCACUUCUAGAGUUAACAGUUCUUAAGAGGUUAAAUAUCUUGUAGUCUUCUCUUUUCAGUUUCUCCUUGUCCCAUCGGCAGUAGUACUUUGAUAUGAGUGCCUAUUUUACUCAGUUAACUUUAUUUGGCAAUGAAGCAGUAGUAUAUCAAUGAACAUUUCCCCAGCCCUCUUUGGCAAUUAAUUUCUCAGUUUGCUUAACAAGGGGAGUGGUCGCAUUUGGAUGUUCUGGGGGCUAAAGACAACUUGGUCGAUCUGGGGAUGAAUAUUUAUGCUAAUUUUUAAGUCUUGUUAAGUCAAUGGAAAUCCAAGUCGUGCUUUAGUUAUAGUUGUUGGUUUAAAAUCCAUUUUUAGGGUAUCAAAUUAAGAAUGAGUCAAACUGUUGCAAUUGGUUUUUCAUGUUUCAAAUAGCUUUGUGCAGGCUCAUUUCUCUGCCGCUGCGUUUAAUUUUUUGAGGUUAUGUGGAGUAAAUCAAAUUUGCCAGAAUUUCUUAUAUUGUUGCAUUCACCGGAAGUUCUUUCUAUUUAAACAAAUCUGGUGCCUUGGAGUGUUUUAUUAGCCAGGUUCUUUCAUAGUAGUUGCUUGAUUUUGUAUUCAAUUUGUACUCCAUGACAAUGAAACACUAUUGAAUGUAUGAAGAAAGAAAGUCAGAAGAGUUUGGCAUUAAAAGUUUGUCCAGUAUAGUGAGACAGGGGUCAGUUUAUUUUCUGUUCGUUCAUCAAAUUGUUUUCUUUGCUAAUGAUGUCCCUAUCAGUUUAAGUUCAAAUCAUAUCUUAUUAUUUUACGUAUUGAUGAGUAUUCAGGAAUUGUGCUUGGAUGAUUAGAUUUGAGUUGGGCGCCCUAAGCUAAAAAGGGUUGAUGACGUGAGUUUUUUUAGUUGAUUUAUUUGACCUCGCGGAGUUUCAACUGAGUUUAGAUUAGUAAUUAGUCUUUGAAUAUUUUAACUUGCUCUAGG